GAGCGAUCUGUGGUUUACCAGCAAAUAAUAGAGCAGGAACACUUAAAGCUACAAAGUGAAAAAUUUCGACAGACGCAAUUAAAUUACGAGGUUCACACUGCCGCCAUGCCCGGCUGGGUUUUUAAGGGCAUUGUGGAUGAAUACGAGACACUACUCCCACACGGGAUUACUAUGGGAUGCAUGUUUUUCAUGGUUGCAAUAAUUGCCGCAAUAAAGGAGGAGAACGAAAAUGGGACUUCGGAACACCAGUGCGUAAUGGGGUUAUCUGAUGCCGAGUUUUUCUGGGGCCACUACCUAACGGCUCUGCUCACGUUCCUGAUCCCGUCUUGCGUCGCUAUCGCGGUAAUGUACCUCGCUGGAAGUAAGGAGCACCCAUAUGGCCCGGGAAUGAACCUGAGCCUGCUGAUCGUGUCAUUCGUCAUGUUUGCCAUUCAAGGGUCCCUGUUAACCAUACUCAC